rnacentral:lncRNA from 1 species
GGAAGCCGGGAUUCGCCCUCCGGGGAGCGAUUGGUCCUCGGGAGGGGCGGGGAGGUGGACGCGGGUACCGGCGGUCGUCGGGUCGGCAGCCUUUGGUCAGUUGGCAGCGGCAAGCGCGCUGCGGUUCCGGUGGCGCCAUGUCGUUCUGCAGCUUCUUCGGGGGCGAGGUUUUCCAGAAUCACUUUGAACCUGGCAAAGAAACUUCUGCCUCCCAGGGUCACUAGGCGGGCAGCCCACACCCACCCCAGACGGCCACCACACUGAGGCCACACGUUGGCCAUUCCACCUUGGAGUUGGAACCCUGGGCGUCGAGACAGGAAGGCAGGGCGCAGUGGUUGAAACAUCAGGACACUCCCAAGGCCCCGGCUCUGAACAAGACCUUUUCGUUUCUUGGAAAAGAGACUCAUUUGCUGAUGGUUCAUGCCUUCUGCUGGGACAGGCCUGGGCUGUGCAGCCACACUGUCGGCUGACUUAGCCCCCUGCUCACUCUAGGUGCCUCCAGGAGGUGAGCCCUGGGUGCAGCUGGUCUCUGAAUGACGUUACACCCUCACCUUCUUUUCCUGGCCCUGUCUCUGGACUCUCCCCUGUGAGGCCCAAUUCCAAGACAGACUCUCGUCCUCACCGAAGCUUAGGCCCACAUCUCCCAGGCUGCUUAGGAGACAGAAUGGAAACGGAGGCCGCCCCUGCCAGCCGCCCUGGCCCUGGUCACUGCAUGAUCCGCUCUGGUCAAACCCUUCCAGGCCAGCCAGAGUGGGGAUGGUCUGUGACCUGCUGGGAAGGCAGGCUGAUGGGGCACACCCUUGGCCUCUCGUCCACGAGGGGAGAAACCUAAACCCUGUUUCACAAUCUGUGCGGAAGUAGCUUGCCUCACUUCUGCUUAGGAAAGCGGCUGUUGCUCCAUAACUCUAACCAGCACAGGGCUGAGGCCUGCAGUGCACACCUGCAGGGAGGCCCUUCCCAAGGUGUGGUGACUGUGCCUUACUGUACAUGCUCGGAGGCCUGGCCAUAUAGGAGGGUGGGUGAUGCUGAAAUCACCCCCCAUCUUAAGUAAUUACUUUCUGGAGUAAUCAGGUGGAAAUCCAUAGACAAAUGAAACAUUCAG